CAGAAAUUUUGAGCAUUUAACAAAAUGAACACAUUUCUUUGCACACAGCUCAUGCAGUUUAUGGGUUUACUGUCUGGCACGCAGCGGGCAUCAAAUUCGUGCAAUUGACAAGGUGGCUUAAGAUUCCUUGCGAGGAAUCUUUAGGCUAAGUUGGGAGCUCUCUGAGAGGACUGUGCGAUGCUUUAUGAAUACGGGCUCAGGUCUUUGCUGUUUGGACCCAGAUAUCAGAGUCCUCUUUUAAAUGGACCUUUCUAAACUUUUGAACCUGGUGUCAUCAUUUUGUAUUCAUUUUAAGUUUUGAUUGUUUUCAUAAGGUGUUACAGGAAUAAAUAUUUUCUGCCACUUUUGUGAUUUCUUUCUUUCUGAGUAAACGUCUAUCGGGCAGUGGAUGGUCCUGGAAUGGGAUGAUGAUCUGACUGAAGUGACCGAUAGCAGUCUGAGCUGACAGUGAACCACGACGGAGUUUUAGGGCCACACUGAAUUUCUUUUUGUUUUUCUUUUUUUUGGACUUCGAGAAUAAAGUCGUAAUAUUACAAGAACAAAGUCGUAAUAUUACGACUUUAUUCUCGUAAAA